rnacentral:rRNA from 1 species
AUGACUGGUUUUGAGCUGGAAAUGGCUGGAUUUGAUGAAUCAAUGGGACUGCCUUAUGGGCCUUACAUAAACAAUGAGAUGCUUUCUGUUAGUUCUUAUGAGCCACAUCUUCCUUCAGACGCAUCAAACACCCUACAUGUUGAAGGUUUCCCACCCAACUGUAUCAGACGGGAACUUGCACAUAUAUAUCGCCCUUUUACUGGGUUCUGUGCAGUAAGGCUGGUCAACACAGGAUAUAGUAAUCGACAUGUAAUAGCUUAUGCUGACUUUGAAACUUCUGCCGAAGCCUUCUCUGCCAUGAAGUCUCUGCAAGGUUAUUUGUUUGAUAUGCAUGACCGAUACUCAGUCAAAUUGGACCUCCAGUUCCUUCCUGGUCCGUCCAAGGUAAACUGA